rnacentral:rRNA from 1 species
AGAGUUUGAUCAUGGCUCAGGAUGACGCUGGCGGCGUGCUAAUACAUGCAAGUCGAGCGAAUUGUAGAGAGCUUGCUCUCUACAAUUAGCGGCGGACGGGUGAGUAACACGUGGGCAACCUGCCUAUAAGACUGGGAUAACUUCGGGAAACCGGAGCUAAUACCGGAUACGUUCUUUUCUCGCAUGAGAGAAGAUGGAAAGAUGGUUUCGGCUAUCACUUAUAGAUGGGCCCGCGGCGCAUUAGCUAGUUGGUGAGGUAAUGGCUCACCAAGGCCACGAUGCGUAGCCGACCUGAGAGGGUGAUCGGCCACACUGGGACUGAGACACGGCCCAGACUCCUACGGGAGGCAGCAGUAGGGAAUCUUCCGCAAUGGACGAAAGUCUGACGGAGCAACGCCGCGUGAACGAAGAAGGCUUUCGGGUCGUAAAGUUCUGUUGUUAGGGAAGAACAAGUACCAGAGUAACUGCUGGUACCUUGACGGUACCUAACCAGAAAGCCACGGCUAACUACGUGCCAGCAGCCGCGGUAAUACGUAGGUGGCAAGCGUUAUCCGGAAUUAUUGGGCGUAAAGCGCGCGCAGGUGGUUCCUUAAGUCUGAUGUGAAAGCCCACGGCUCAACCGUGGAGGGUCAUUGGAAACUGGGGAACUUGAGUGCAGAAGAGGAAAGUGGAAUUCCAAGUGUAGCGGUGAAAUGCGUAGAGAUUUGGAGGAACACCAGUGGCGAAGGCGACUUUCUGGUCUGUAACUGACACU